rnacentral:rRNA from 1 species
UGGGGAAUUUUGGACAAUGGGCGAAAGCCUGAUCCAGCAAUGCCGCGUGUGUGAAGAAGGCCUUCGGGUUGUAAAGCACUUUUGUCCGGAAAGAAAUCCUUGGCUCUAAUACAGUCGGGGGAUGACGGUACCGGAAGAAUAAGCACCGGCUAACUACGUGCCAGCAGCCGCGGUAAUACGUAGGGUGCAAGNGUUAAUCGGAAUUACUGGGCGUAAAGCGUGCGCAGGCGGUUCGCUAAGACCGAUGUGAAAUCCCCGGGCUCAACCUGGGAACUGCAUUGGUGACUGGCAGGCUAGAGUAUGGCAGAGGGGGGUAGAAUUCCACGUGUAGCAGUGAAAUGCGUAGAGAUGUGGAGGAAUACCGAUGGCGAAGGCAGCCCCCUGGGCCAAUACUGACGCUCAUGCACGAAAGCGUGGGGAGCAAACAGGAUUAGAUACCCUGGUAGUCCAGCGCCCUAAACGAUGUCAACUAGUUGUUGGGGAUUCAUUCCUUAGUAACGUAGCUAACGCGUGAAGUUACCGCCUGGGGAGUACGGUCG